GUCCUCGCUUCGGCAGCACAUACACUAAAAUUGGAAUGAUACAGAGAAGAUUAGCAUGGCCCCUAUGCAAGGAUGACACGCAAAUUCAUGAAGCGUUCCGUAUUUAA
rnacentral:snRNA from 1 species